UUUAAAUUGAGAGUUUGAUCCUGGCUCAGGAUGAACGCUGGCGGCGUGCUUAACACAUGCAAGUCGAGCGAUGAAGUUUCCUUCGGGAAACGGAUUAGCGGCGGACGGGUGAGUAACACGUGGGUAACCUGCCUCAUAGAGUGGAAUAGCCUUCCGAAAGGAAGAUUAAUACCGCAUAAUGUUGAAAGAUGGCAUCAUCAUU
rnacentral:rRNA from 1 species